rnacentral:rRNA from 1 species
UGGGGAAUAUUGCACAAUGGGCGCAAGCCUGAUGCAGCCAUGCCGCGUGUGUGAAGAAGGCCUUCGGGUUGUAAAGCACUUUCAGUCGUGAGGAAGGUAGUGUAGUUAAUAGCUGCAUUAUUUGACGUUAGCGACAGAAGAAGCACCGGCUAACUCCGUGCCAGCAGCCGCGGUAAUACGGAGGGUGCGAGCGUUAAUCGGAAUUACUGGGCGUAAAGCGCAUGCAGGUGGUUUGUUAAGUCAGAUGUGAAAGCCCGGGGCUCAACCUCGGAAUUGCAUUUGAAACUGGCAGACUAGAGUACUGUAGAGGGGGGUAGAAUUUCAGGUGUAGCGGUGAAAUGCGUAGAGAUCUGAAGGAAUACCG